AUCCUUUUGUAGUUUAUAAGCAUGAUUGGGUUUUCACACUCAUGUGUGAGAUGUGCCUCCCUCAAACCUUGUUACAACAUUGGCACAUUAUCCGUCUUGACA